rnacentral:rRNA from 1 species
UACGAAGGGGACUAGCGUUGUUCGGAAUUACUGGGCGUAAAGCGCGCGUAGGCGGAUCGCUAAGUCAGGGGUGAAAUCCCAGGGCUCAACCCUGGAACUGCCUUUGAAACUAGAGAACUUGGGUACGGGAGAGGGUGAGUGGAAUUCCGAGUGUAGAGGUGAAAUUCGUAGAUAUUCGGUAAGGAAACACCACGUGGGUCGGCAAG